ACGGUAGCUUUCGGCCAGGGAAGUUUCGUUGACUGCGGAUGGCGGGGUCAGACCGGAUUGAGUGCGACGCAGAUUUAAAGGUGUCUGGGAUGUGUUGGGAAAGUCAACUCUUUCUUUCGGUUGCAUCGGCUUAGGGUAAUCCGUGCCACGACCGGCAACCGAACGAGCGACUCGUGCGUGACACGGGACGGUCGUACUUUUUCGGCGAUCCCAGCGCCAAAACCGAGAACUUCAACGACCAAUCGGUACUUGCUGCCGAUCGCUAUCAGAUCGACCGGACGCGAGGUGGAGGUUCACUUCUCCGCCGGGAACAUGACAGUGUUGGACGACCCGGACACGCUCAACUUGGAAGCGACCUUUCUUAUUCAUCAAGGCGCCAAUCAUCUGCAAUGACGUGCGGCGGAAGAACGCCGUAACAGGGAUCGCCAAGCUGUCCGCUGGGGAGAUGGAGUGCCGCAAUCGACCCUGGUUUAUCGAACCUCUACGUUCGACUGCGAAGACUCCUUCUACGCAAGAACAAUCUCGCCGAUCAGCACCGUUACGCCAAUUUGGUGCUCAACGAAGACACGCGUCGUCAUAAAGAGCGAGGACGUCUCAGCAACGGCGUGUCCCCUGCCGGAUGACACUUCUCAUCGACACGUGAUGGAAGUCUUCAGCGCCAGCUGGACCCACAAGCAUCCCCACUUAGGAAUUGAACCCUCGAAUGUGAUCUUCGAUGAUUUCCUAACGCAGGUCAACGGCGCGUACUCCUGACCAAGCGACCGUCAAAGUAAUUUGCUCUAACCGCCGCCGAGGAGUGUCCGGAUCAGAACGCGUGCGUCAAAGAGUCUAUCUGGUGCGAUGGGAUCGCGCAGUGUCCGUCUGGCGAGGACGAUUUGUUCACCGACGAGCAUUUGCCGACCGACUUACUGGCUUCAACGUGCUGCUUCUGCUGCUGUGCUGCAACUGACCGCAAACCUGUACUCGCGAAAUCCGUCGCAACUGCCGCCGGACGUCGGUGCUGCAGACACAGCUCAGGUCGCUCAGCAUGAUGGACAUGGCAGUGUUUGACGAGAAUGAAGUGAUUUGCUAACCAAGGGACAAUUAUGUACGGUACGUCACCACGGUCUGAACACGCGCCGAACAGAAUUGUUCCCCCACCGAGUACUCUUCAAGCUCCUUCCGGUUUCUGCUCUGACACUUCCCGCAAAUUUGCGCUCUUUAUGAAAACGUGUGAUCUAGGUGGAAGAAUAGAUUUAGCUGAUCUCGUGAAGAAACGGAUGCUCGACGUAAGUUGUCUCUGAGUAUAGUUGAACGAAGCAUGAAUUAAUUUGUUUUAUGAGGGGACUUGAUUGAGCUCGCGAUCAUUCAGGUCCGGUUGAUGACAAGGAAGCAAAUUAAUAAUAAUAAGAAACGGAGGAAAAGUACAACAUACUGGUUCUAAGCCAAUCGCCAAAGUUAGCGUCGUUUAUUUUAUUCGGCCAGGACUGAAAUCAUGGCAGUUAUGUGGCCCUAAAUAUAGACAAUUGACGGAAAUAAUGGAAAUAAUAAAGUGAUUUAUUACAAAGCAAGGUUUGUUUAUGUUCCUAAUAAUUGAUGACAACUCUAUAUCUAUCCGCUCAACUCCACAGAAAAUGAGCAAAAUUACACAUUUUUAGAGAUAAAUUUUGACCUUCAUAGGUAAUUUUGAACAUUUUCUGUUGCAAAAUUAAUCAUUAUAUGAGGUAAAAUUAUCUCAUAUAUGAGUUAAAUUUACACAUUUUCAGAGGUAAUAUUAAAGCUUUUUUCUGACAUAAAAGAUGUACUCCUUCCCAGAUGUAAUAUUACCACGAUUUUUUUUUUCUGUGUGUUUUGGCGGCAGAAGCCUGUUCCGCGGCCAUGGUCAAGUUCCUCGUUGUACUUACUUGCCACAGCACAAACUGUUCCGCGGCCAUUGUCAAGUUCCUCGAUUCUUGCUGCCACCUGCGACAAUUUGUGCACUCAUCUAUGCAGCAGUACAAAUACAUCUCCAGCUUCACUGCACCGUAUUUUUCUGCUGCGAGAACUUUAUGGAAACGUGCUUCUUUUCAUUGAAAAGAACCAUCACCUGUUGAGUAUGUAUUUUAAUGCUGAACACUUGAUGCAGAACUUUUUCAUGCUUUUUUGUUUUGAAAAAACCCCUAAAGCAAUUCGAUUGCCACAAAUCGCUUCCAAACGUGAACAAUAACAAACAUUUAUGACGGCUGUCGGAAGGAUGUGUAUCAAACCAGCGAAAACUUUCGCUGGAAAAGAAACCGUUUCGGAAAUAACAAACCAGCGAAACCAAGUUGCUGGAUUUGAUUUCGCGCAGCCACCUUUUUCAGCGAAAAAUUUCGCUGGUUUAGAGAAAAAUUUCGCUGAUAUCAGCAAAACCAACCCAGCAAAAUUCGGUCGCUGGUUUGGCGAUCGAUCCCCUUUCCGU